rnacentral:misc_RNA from 1 species
GAUGAAGAACGCAGCGAAAUGCGAUAAGUAGUGUGAAUUGCAGAAUUCAGUGAAUCAUCGAAUCUUUGAACGCACAUUGCGCCCCUCGGUAUUCCGUGGGGCAUGCCUGUUCGAGCGUCAUUUAACCCCUCAAGCCUAGCUUGGUAUUGGGUGCUUGUCCCGCCUCUCGCGCGGCGACUCACCUCAAAGUCGUUGGCAGCCCGCAUCUCGCCGGCCGUGAGCGCAGCACAGACGCGCUCUUGGCAACGACGGAUCGGCUCUCCAAAAGCUUAUUUCAACCACUGACCUCGGAUCAGGUAGGGAUACCCGCUGAACUUAAGCAUAUCAAUAAGCGGAGGA